rnacentral:lncRNA from 1 species
GCCUACAUGGGGUCACCAGAAGGCUCCUCUCAGUGUGGGGACUCACAGAAAAGUGAAUGGAGGCAGUUCAAAUCUCAGUAUAGACUGGUGGGAUAGGAGCAUCUGGAAGUUGAGGGGUGGAGAAAUUUGUCUGGGGACUUCCAGCCUAUGCCACUAGAGCCAUUGCCAAAAUGUGAAUAGUCGCCUCUGACAUCCUGACUGGAUCUCAGGCUAAUCGCUGCCCCACCCCACCUUCUGUCCCUCUCUGCGUUCCUGUGAACUGAGUUCCCCGCAGCAUUUCCGAGGCUGCCACGUGGCUGCCAUCUUUCUCAUGGGGGAUCGUGGUGGUCACAUCAUUGGUCCUUUGCCUCUGGGAGUGUCUGAAACAUUGCAGCAACUUAAUACAUAUUUGUUGAUUGAAAGACUCGGUGACCAUUGAACAAGAGGGGCUGAUGGCAUCUUAAUGGGACUGUCAUCUCACAGCAAAAGAGAGAUGAAGAUUUAUAUACAUGCACACGAUCCACUGUGCAGGGUGCAGUGUGGGGAAAACCAGUGUGAGACAUGAACCCUGGUGAAUGUGGUUCUUCCUCGGGGGAUAACCCUUGGCAUGCUGACUUUCAUGGUACAUCGCCCACAUGCUGUAGGAGAAAGACUGCAGAUUUGGAAUUCAAAAACAAGACUUUGCUGUUUAUAAGAAUUGCAUUUCUGGAAAGGAGGGGGACUGUCCACACCAGCCAGCAACCUCAUACAUUAAAAGUCUAGGCUUUCUUUCACACCCAACUAAAAUCCAAGACCCCUUCCAAGAUUUGCCUUGUCACCCACCAGGGAAGAGGAGCCCCAUGACCCACAGGUAAGGAGGGUGGAACAUGAAGAUGCCUCCGGGGGUGCAGGGGGAGAAAG